GAUUAUUUCGUAAGAUACAAAUCAAAUUGAGUGAGGCUACUAUGCUAUCGGAAGUACGGGGCCUUUCAUGUUUUCAGUUCGUUUUCGAUGUUGCGACUUUCGAAUCGUCGAUCGGCUCCGUUAAACUUGAUCUAGAGUAUUUGAAGUACAUAGAAAAUAAAUUUUAUGAUUUUACAAUAUCAUUUGCCUAGUGAACGAAGGGGCUCAAAAUCAACGGCUGAAAAUAAAAAUCUUACAAAAUGUAAUAAUAUGACAUUAAAAUUUUAAAUCAAAGAUAUUGAUCUUGUUUUAUAUAGUAUAAAGAAUUUUCUAUCAAAAUUCCACGUGAUUUGAAUAUUUCUACACCGUUAAACUUGCAAACGGCUCACUACGGCCAUUGAAAUUUAUUGAUUUUGAGCCCAUUCGAUCACUAGGCAAAUGAUAUCGAAAAAUAAUAAAAUUUAUUUUCUAGGUACUCCAAAUACUCUAGAUCAAGUUUAACGGAGUCGAUCGACGAUUCGAAAGUCGCAACAUCGAAAACAAGCUGGAAGCACGAAAGGCUCUGUGCUUCCGAUAGCAUAGUAGCCUCACUCAAUCAAAUUUUAUAUUUUCAUAUUUGCUCAAAAGAAUGACGAUU
rnacentral:lncRNA from 1 species